AGUGAACGCUGGCGGUAGGCCUAACACAUGCAAGUCGAACGGCAGCACAGGAGAGCUUGCUCUCUGGGUGGCGAGUGGCGGACGGGUGAGGAAUACAUCGGAAUCUACCUUUUCGUGGGGGAUAACGUAGGGAAACUUACGCUAAUACCGCAUAAGACCUUCGGUGAAGCCGGGACCUUCGGCCUGGCGCGGAUAGAUGA
rnacentral:rRNA from 1 species